GGAUGAACGCUGGCGGCGUGCCUCAAACAUGCAAGUCGAGCGGGGCUAUGUAAUAUCGCAAGGUAGAACAUAGCCUAGCGGCGAACGGGUGAGUAACACGUGGGUAACCUGCCUGGAAGACAGGGAUAACGAUUCGAAAGGGUCGCUAAUACCUGAUAAUAUCCUUUCAUCGCAUGGUGAUAGGAAGAAAGGGGAAACCCGCUUUCAGAUGGGCCCGCGUCCCAUCAGCUAGUUGGUAAGGUAAAGGCUUACCAAGGCGACGACGGGUAGCCGGUCUGAGAGGAUGGUCAGCCACACUGGGACUGAGAUACUGCCCAGACUCCUACGGGAGGCUGCAGUCGAGAAUCAUUCGCAAUGGGCGAAAGCCUGACGGUGCGACGUCGCGUGGAGGAUGAAGGUCUUCGGAUUGUAAACUCCUGUCAUGUGGGAGAAAUGGCCAGGGCAUGAAUAGUGCUUUGGAAUGAUAGUACCACAGGAGGAAGAGACGGCUAACUCUGUGCCAGCAGCCGCGGUAAUACAGAGGUCUCGAGCGUUGUUCGGAUUUACUGGGCGUAAAGGGAGCGUAGGCGGUUCGGUAUGUCGAAUGUGAAAGCCCACAACUCAACUGUGGAAAUGCAUUCGAAACUGCCGGGCUAGAGUACUGGAGAGGAGAGCGGAGUUCUUGGUGUAGCGGUGAAAUGCGUAGAUAUCAAGAGGAACACCGGUGGCGAAGGCGGCUCUCUGGACAGAUACUGACGCUGAGGCUCUAAAGUUAGGGGAGCAAACAGGAUUAGAUACCCUGGUAGUCCUAACCUUAAACGGUGUACACUUGGUGUGCGAGGAAUUGUCCCUUUGCGCGCCGCAGCUAACGCGAUAAGUGUACCGCCUGGGGAGUACGGUCGCAAGAUUAAAACUCAAAGGAAUUGACGGGGACCCGCACAAGCGGUGGAGCAUGUGGCUUAAUUCGAUGCAACGCGAAGAACCUUACCUGGACUUGACAUGCCAGUGGUAGAACCCUGAAAGGGGGACGACCGUAGCAAUACGGAGCUGGCACAGGUGCUGCAUGCCUGUCGUCAGCUCGUGCCGUGAGGUGUUGGGUUAAGUCCCGCAACGAGCGCAACCCCUGUGGUUAGUUGCCCUUAUUCAGUUAGGCACUCUAGCCAGACUGCCUGUGAUAAGCAGGAGGAAGGUGGGGAUGACGUCAAGUCAGUAUGGUCCUUAUGUCCAGGGCUGCACACGUGCUACAAUGACCAGCACAGAAGGAAGCAAUACCGCGAGGUGGAGCUAAUCCCCAAAACUGGUCUCAGUUCGGAUUGGAGUCUGCAACCCGACUCCAUGAAGCUGGAAUCGCUAGUAACGGCGCAUCAGCUACGGCGCCGUGAAUACGUUCCCGGGUCU
rnacentral:rRNA from 1 species